rnacentral:tRNA from 1 species
UUAAUAAGAAGCUUAAAGCAAUCAGUUUCGACCUGAAAAUUAGGUAUAAUUACCCUUAUUAAU